ACAUGCCUACAACAUAGCAUUAAUGCAACAAAUCCCAUUAUAACCCCGUAGUUAAGCACGCUCAGGCUAGAGUAGUACUGUGAUGGGUGACCACCUGAGAAGUCCUAUUGUUUUACAUGCC
rfam:Picea glauca, whole genome shotgun sequence.